rnacentral:tRNA from 1 species
GCGGGCGUGGCGGAACUGGCAGACGCGCCAGACUUAGGAUCUGGUGGUUACCCCGUGCAGGUUCGAUUCCUGUCGCCCGCACCA